GAGAUAACUCCUCAGCAGUAAAUGACAGUGAACCAUCCAGGAAGAAUAAUUCCCCAGCCAAUCGAUCUGGUGAACACACAUCCAAUGUCACCGGUUGUUCAACUGUGUCAAUGAAACGAGGGGAGUGAGCUAUUGGAGAGUCUGGAGAAGAUCUCCGGCCAGAUGUUGCAGGAUUAUUACCCACAGUGCCAAGAUGCGUAGAUGCUGAAACUGCAGUAACUCCCUCCAGAAAGACAUGUUCAACAAUUUCUGUACCAGACUCAAUUUGGCCAGACAGAGAUCUCGAGUUCACUGUGAGCAAGUGAUCAUUAGAGAAACUCAAGAAAGUUGGUGGUGGUUCUGAGGAGCCAUGGAACUUUAAAAUUCCAGGCCGGCUGAACCUCCCGAGUUUAACAUCCCUUCCAGCAGAUUGGCUGUUAAAUCCACUUGGCAAGUGAAAAUUUUGGAACCGUUGUCGAAGGUAAGCCAGGAGAACAACACCAAUCAUUAAAGCAGCUCCAACUGAGGCAAGA
rnacentral:misc_RNA from 1 species